AGGCUCAGCAGGGUGAAGAAUGUAGAGAGGAUGAAAGGAGCAUUGAAGCUCAUCUCAAUGAUGUCUUCAGAAAUGCUUAAGACGCUGAUUGCAGAAUGGUCACAGAGCUGGAUUGAAUGGCAACAAAGAUUGUUCAAAGAGCAUCCAUGUGUGACCUACAGGACUGCUGCCAGAGGGCAAUCAAUGACUGCCUGGAUGAUUCAGUAAGACAAGACUACACAAAUUCACCUACUGAGGACAGCAUGAUGUGUCUGGCCGGUCAUGUUGCUGAUUCCACUGGACCUAUGCUGACUUUUCACCUGUUGUCCCCUGGGACCUACACAGCCUCUCCUGUUCUGUUGGACUAUCUUUAAAUAAAUGUUUUUCUCAUUGAAA